rnacentral:rRNA from 1 species
AACGAACGCUGGCGGCAGGCCUAACACAUGCAAGUCGAACGCCGUAGCAAUACGGAGUGGCAGACGGGUGAGUAACACGUGGGAACGUACCCUUCGGUUCGGAAUAACUCAGGGAAACUUGAGCUAAAACCGGAUACGUCCGAGAGGAGAAAGAUUCAUCGCCGAGGGAUCGGCCCGCGUCUGAUUAGCUUGUUGGUGAGGUAACGGCUCACCAAGGCGACGAUCAGUAGCUGGCUGAGAGGAUGAUCAGCCACAUUGGGACUGAGACACGGCCCAAACUCCUACGGGAGGCAGCAGUGGGGAAUAUUGGACAAUGGGCGCAAGCCUGAUCCAGCCAUGCCGCGUGAGUGAUGAAGGCCCUAGGGUUGUAAAGCUCUUUUACCCGGGAAGAUAAUGACUGUACCGGGAGAAUAAGCCCCGGCUAACUUCGUGCCAGCCGCCGCGGUAAU